UACGGGGGGGGUAAGCGUUGUUCGGAAUCACUGGGCGUAAAGGGUGCGUAGGCGGGUCUUUAAGUCAGGGGUGAAAUCCUGGAGCUCAACUCCAGAACUGCCUUUGAUACUGGAAAGCUCGAGUCCGGGAGAGGUGAGUGGAACUGCGAGUGUAGAGGUGAAAUUCGUAGAUAUUCGCAAGAACACCAGUGGCGAAGGCGGCUCACUGGCCCGGUACUGACGCUGAGGUGCGAAAGCGUGGGGAGCAAACAGG
rnacentral:rRNA from 1 species